CACAAGAAGAACUCUCAGUUCGAGUGCUCAGUUCUGUACGUGUUUAAUGCUUUUUACAUCAUUUGUGAGAUUUUUAUUUUUCUAUACAUGUUGUUUUUCUCUCUUAGGCGUUUAAAUGACCGUGCAAACAGCUUAUUAUCGACGCACGUCGAUUGUUUUGUGACGGACGUUUUAAAAUAAUCCGUUUCAGGAGAAACAAACAGACAAAGUAUCAUGGUUAAUGUCCUAUAUAUGAGCUCUUAAAUCCAGCAGCUGACUGUAAAUGAGUUUAAUGAAGGCAUUUAGUGGCAAUAUUUCAUGACAACGUUGUGACAACCAGUUAACUGACUAGAGCAGCGCGCGCAUAUAAUCGGAGUACUGCGCAUGCGCCUCAUUUAUAACGGUCGAUUUCGAGUGGACGGACGCUGAGGUAAAGGAAAAAGGGUGAGGCUUGCCAGCCGAAGAACAGCAUCCCAACCGUGAAGCAUGGGGGUGGCAGCAUCAUAUUGUGGGGGUGCUUUGCUGCAGGAGGGACUGGUGCACUUCACAAAAUAGAUGGUAUCAUGAGGAAGGAAAAUUAUGUGGAUAUAUUGAAGCAACGUCUCAAGACAUCAGCCAGGAAAUUAAAGCUCGGUUGCAAAUGGGUCUUCCAAAUGGACAGUGACCCCAAGCAUACCUCCAAAGUUGUGGCAAAAUGUCUUAAGCACUACAAACCUGACUCAGUCACACCAGUUCUGUCUGGAGGAAUGGGCCAAAAUUCCAGCAACUUAUUGUGAGAAGCUUAUGGAAGGCUACCCAAAAAGUUUGACCCAAGUUAAACAAUUGAAAGGCAAUGCUACCAAAUACUAACAAAGUGUAUGUAAACUUCUGACCCACUGGGAAUGUGAUGAAAGAAAUAAAAGCUGAAUAAAACCA